rnacentral:lncRNA from 1 species
UCCCAUUAGAACUCCCCUUUCUCACUUUCAGCCUCAAUUUUCCCCAACUCACAAAUACCCGGUGGAAUAGGAAGGAUCUUAAAAUUCUUUUAAUCCACUGAUUUUCAAACUUGUUUUUUUUAAAUCAAGGAAUCUUUUCCUCAAACGAGGGCUCACCCAGAAACCCAAGAUGUAAAACAGAGCCACCUGGAUGUAUUCUGAUCAUGGAGGGGAGCCCGGCCCACAGCCCACCUGCUGCACUGACCUGCCCCUCUGAGUAAGGACUUCAAGAUAGAAAUGCAUUUCCUCCAUGUGCGAAUGAAGAAACUAGAGAAGACAUCACCAUUUUCCCUUCUAGAAAAUAUAUCCCAGGUAGUAGGGGAUUUCAGAGCUGACUGAAUGAUGCAACCAAAAGAACCUCCUGACUGAGCAUAAGAAAUACCCGCAGAUCCAAUGUGCAGCUUGAGGAGUGGAAUGAAGGUCAACUGAAGGCAGAAAUAGACAAAUGCUCCUCUAAAGGAGCCAGAGACUGGUGCCCACAAGAGAUGCUUGGAGAUGGGAGGUAAACAUACAGGCUGUAUCCUAAAGGGUUGAGACAAGAAGAGGCCUGGGCUCUGUUUAGUCAUGUAAAGGCUCAUGUAGUCUGGGAGGCCCAGGUCCAAGAAACACACUGCAGGAAUUGUGGGCAGAGACGCAAGUGACAGAUUGGAGCCUGUCUCAUGAUGCCCCAGCCUAGAUCCUUUAGAUCAUGGCUUCCAGAACCACAACAGACCAACGCUUUCCACAGAGAUGGGGAGGAAGUUGCUAGAACAAACACUAUACUGAAACUUGCCCCAAAUCUGAACCUAAUCAAACCCCAAUGUUUUCUUGAGGUUAGAAAAAGCCUGGCUUAGCAUUUUUAAAACAAUAUCUAUUUGCCUUUUGUCUCCCUUUGCAGCCAGAAGUGGAAGUUCUAAAAACCCAUUAAACCUUUGGGUUUUAUUUUGUAUUUAUUUCUUUACUAUAUGCAUUGCCUGGCCAAAACCAGAAAAUGCUGGAACAGCACAAGCUCGUUCUCCUGAGAUAUCCAGAUCAAAGUCGUUUGGAACUGCCUUGGCUAGGCAGCUGA